UUGGCUGCAGGGUUUGAGGUUUGCAAGUUUUUCCUGAGUCUAAUAGUCCAUAGAGUUAGGUUUGUAAACUCUCCCUAAGUCAUAUCUAGGUUAAUUAAAUUUAAACAUUUAAAGCGCAUAUAUAAUUCUUCAGAAUUUAAGCAAGAUAAUAAUUGUUAGAUUUCAGGUGCUUAAAUACUUCUAUAUCUACUCCCCAUUUUAUCAUCAACAAAAAAAACAAGAAAAU
rnacentral:lncRNA from 1 species